rnacentral:rRNA from 1 species
UACGAAGGGGGCUAGCGUUGUUCGGAUUUACUGGGCGUAAAGCGCACGUAGGCGGAUCGUUAAGUCGGGGGUGAAAUCCUGGAGCUCAACUCCAGAACUGCCUUCGAUACUGGCGAUCUUGAGUCCGGAAGAGGUGAGUGGAACUCCUAGUGUAGAGGGUGGAAUUCGUAGAUAUUAGGAAGAACACCAGUGGCGAAGGCGGCUCACUGGUCCGGUACUCGACGCUGAGGUGCGAAAGCGUGGGGAGCCAAACAG